rnacentral:rRNA from 1 species
UACGAAGGGGGCUAGCGUUGCUCGGAAUCACUGGGCGUAAAGGGUGCGUAGGCGGUCCCUUAAGUCAGUGGUGAAAUACUCUAGCUCAACUAGAGAGGUGCCAUUGAUACUGAGGGACUUGAGUGAAGUCGAAGUAGGCGGAAUUGACGGUGUAGCGGUGAAAUGCUUAGAUAUCGUCAAGAACACCGAUAGUGAAGACAGCUUACUAGACUUAUACUGACGCUGAGGCACGAAAGUGUGGGGAUCAAACAGG